rnacentral:pre_miRNA from 1 species
GAUUACAACUAAAAAAGUCAUCAAAAACAAAGUUGUAUAACUUAUCAAGAUCUAUAACUUUUAUUUUGGUCAUUUCUUCAUCCGACAAAGUGAUAGUAAUAUUGUUUACAAAAUUCACAUAUCUCUCAUCUGGUUUAUAAACUAUAACACAAAUAUGUAAAUUUUAUGAACAAUGUUACUAACACUUUGUCGAAUGAAGAAAUAAUAAAAAUAAAAGUUAUAGAUCUUGAUAACUUAUACAACUUUGUUGUUGAUGAUUUUUUUAGAUGAAAUC